UGGGUAUCCCAGAUAUAUUUUUAAUUUUUAUCUUUAACUCUGACUAUGACCACAUUAAUUUUAAUUUUUAGCACAUACCAUAAUGAGAAUCUCUUAUCACACACUUUAGUUGCUUAUAAAUGUCAUAAGAGCAUUACUAUUGUCGUAGUUCUUUUUCUAAAACUUUUAUAUUAUUAUUUGAAAGUAAUUAACUAUUUACUAUAUAACAUUUUGAUUUUUGAAAAAUAAUUAAUUUUAUCAUUUAGAAGAAGUUAUGUGGGUUAAUUAUAAUCAUUUUUCUUCGUUUAUCAUAUUUUUAUUUUUUUUUGUUAUUAGUUUUUGGAGAAUAUUCUUGUAGAAACCGCUAUGCGAUUUUAUAAAGUAACAAGUUGAUACAUAUAUAUUUAUAUUGCAUGUAAUUUUUAACAUAUGGUAUUGGAAAAUUUGUAGUAAUGUAUUUUCUGUCGUUGUUCAUGGCCUUAGUCUUUUUCCUACCAAUUUCAAUGGGUUCACGGUCGCUUGACACCUUUGAAUUUG
rnacentral:lncRNA from 1 species